rnacentral:rRNA from 1 species
CAGUCGCCACGGGAACACGGAGGGAGCUAGCGUUGUUCGGAAUUACUGGGCGUAAAGCGCACGUAGGCGGCUUUGUAAGUUAGAGGUGAAAGCCUGGAGCUCAACUCCAGAAUUGCCUUUAAGACUGCAUCGCUUGAAUCCAGGAGAGGUGAGUGGAAUUCCGAGUGUAGAGGUGAAAUUCGUAGAUAUUCGGAAGAACACCAGUGGCGAAGGCGGCUCACUGGACUGGUAUUGACGCUGAGGUGCGAAAGCGUGGGGAGCAAACAGGAUUAGAUACCCGCGUAGUCCCUGUCUCUUAUAC